AACAACAAAAUCACUAGUCUUCCA
rnacentral:miRNA from 1 species